rnacentral:rRNA from 1 species
UACGUAGAGUGCGAGCGUUAAUCGGAAUUACUGGGCGUAAAGCGUGCGCAGGCGGUUAUAUAAGACAGAUGUGAAAUCCCCGGGCUCAACCUGGGAACUGCGUUUGUGACUGUAUAACUCGAGUGUGGCAGAGGGGGGUGGAAUUCCACGUGUAGCAGUGAAAUGCGUAGAGAUGUGGAGGAACACCAAUGGCGAAGGCAGCCCCCUCGGGAGUAACACUGACGCUCAUGUACGAAAGCGUGGGUAGCAAACAGGAUUAGAAA